ensembl:processed_transcript
UUGGUUAAUGAACGUAGUAAUAUGGCGCCUUUCAAUCUGUUGUCUAAAACAAGAUGCUUACCAAAUGGACCCAUGAGACUCGAUCAAGUUGUUGUCAGCACAAAGAUGUUUGUGGCCAAACCAACGUGCAAACCCCUUGUCAAGUGGACACCAGCUCUAAAGCGAGCACUGACAGAGAGCACUGGAGAGUUUCUCUGGGAUUAUGAAUAAACCCUUGGAAUGCACUGGCUGGUUUUACACGGCUCCUCCACUGCCUAGUGCCACGUUUCACAGUGGCAACAGUGAAAGAAAUAUUUCACAGGAUCAAUGCGAAUCAGUCUCAUGCUCUCCACUCCUUCAUGACCACCACAGCAUCUGUUCAGGAUACGGCCUGGUCCAGGAUUAUGGAGACCUCUAGAAAUAAUAAUUCAGGAGGGCUAAUACUUCUGACUUCAAGUGUAAAUUGUUUGAGUUGCAAUUUCAAAACUUCUAGACA